AGCUCAGCUGGCUAGAGCGUCCCGAUAGCAUCGGGAAGGUCGUCACUUCGACUCCGAUAUCCUCCA
rnacentral:tRNA from 1 species